rnacentral:rRNA from 1 species
UACGUAGGGGCCUAGCGUUGUCCGGAUUUAUUGGGCGUAAAGAGCUCGUAGGCGGUUCGGCAAGUCGGAUGUGAAAUCUCCACGCUUAACGUGGAGGGGCCAUUCGAAACUGCCGUGACUCGAGUCCGGUAGGGGAGUGUGGAAUUCCCGGUGUAGCGGUGAAAUGCGUAGAUAUCUGGAGGAACACCGGUGGCGAAGGCGGCAUCCUGGACCGAUACUGACGCUGAGGAGCGAAAGCCAGGGGAGCAAACGGG